CUCGGCCAGGUCGUCUGGGCUGGAGUCUCGCGUGGCUGGCCUGAGCGGGAAGGCAAGGCUUGGGUCUUUCUGGACAACCUGUACUCACCUUGGGCGUUAGAAGAUUUUUCAGGGUUGGGAUGUUAAAAGUCCUGGAGUCGUGUUCUGUCCCGGAGUCAGCAGCUUUGACUGGGGGCUGUGGUGACCUUCCAGAGGAAGAACCGGCUCUGAAAUCUGAGCCCUCUGGCCAAAAGUGAGCUGCAAGGAAUGCCAGGUUUUGGUUUGCCUGAAAAGCAGACCUACAGUGUAUACCUUUUUAAGUUGGUUUCUGUGAAAACUGAGAUAUGUUCCUGUCUGUAGGUUUGAUUUCCCAGAAGAAUAAAUUAAAAUGCUCUUGCCUCUUAAUGUCUCCCCUUCUGGCCUCAAGAAAAAGAACGGUUUCCUGUCUAUCAAUAAAAACUUGGCAUUUUAAUAAG